rnacentral:rRNA from 1 species
CAAACGACUCUCGGCAACGGAUAUCUCGGCUCUCGCAUCGAUGAAGAACGUAGCGAAAUGCGAUACUUGGUGUGAAUUGCAGAAUCCCGUGAACCAUCGAGUUUUUGAACGCAAGUUGCGCCCRAAGCCAUCCGGYYGAGGGCACGCCUGCCUGGGCGUCACGC